GACGAAGGGGGCUAGCGUUGUUCGGAUUUACUGGGCGUAAAGGGCGCGUAGGCGGCCAGCGCAAGUCAGUUGUGAAAUCUCCGGGCUUAACUCGGAAAGGUCAACUGAUACUGCGCGGCUAGAGUGCAGAAGGGGCAACUGGAAUUCUCGGUGUAGCGGUGAAAUGCGUAGAUAUCGAGAGGAACACCUGCGGCGAAGGCGGGUUGCUGGGCUGACACUGACGCUGAUGCGCGAAAGCCAGGGGAGCGAACGGG
rnacentral:rRNA from 1 species